rnacentral:rRNA from 1 species
CACGAACUGUGCAAACGUUAUUCGGAAUCACUGGGCUUAAAGAGUUCGUAGGCGGUCUGUUAAGUCGAGUGUGAAAUCCCCCGUCUCAACCGGGGAAUUGCGCCCGAAACUGGCAGGCUGGAGUGAGAUAGAGGUGAGCGGAACUGAUGGUGGAGCGGUGAAAUGCGUUGAUAUCAUCAGGAACACCGGUUGCGAAGGCGGCUCACUGGGUCUUUACUGACGCUGAGGAACGAAAGCUAGGGGAGCGAACGGG